UGCGGACUGAAACCCCCACUGAAGGUUGCAGGGCGACACCCCACCCCACCCCCUUGUCCACUCAUUUGGAAACACGCCUAGGGCGCAAGUUCACGUAGAACCGGGCCUGCCCACAUUGUCCCGAAUUGUGCCGCACCAACGCAGUCUUUGUCCCACCUCUGGUAAAUCAGGAUCUGGUCACCCUAGUAGGAGGGGUAAGGGGUUUAUCAAUGUAGUAGGAGGGGUUAGGGGUUUAUCAAUGUAGUAGGAGGGGUUAGGGGUUUAUCAAUGUAGUAGGAGGUUAGGGGUUUAUCAAUGUAGUAGGAGGGGUUAGGGGUUUAUCAAUGUAGUAGGAGGGGUUAGGGGUUUAUCAAUGUAGUAGGAGGGGUUAGAUGUUUAGUAAUGUAGUAGGAGGGGUUAGGGGUUUAUCAAUGUAGUAGGAGGGGUUAGAUGUUUAGUAAUGUAGUAGGAGGGGUUAGGGGUUUAUCAAUGUAGUAGGAGGGGUUAGGGGUUUAUCAAUGUAGUAGGAGGGGUUAAUCAAUGUAGCAGGAGGGGUUAGGGGUUUAGUAAUGUAGGAGGAGGGGUCAGCCUAGGUGUUUUGUGAUGUAGGAGGAGAGGUUCUUUUAGAUUAGAUUCUAACUAAUUAGCAUAUAUUUUGCAAAGUAUAUUAGGGGUGUGCCAAA
ensembl:lncRNA